rnacentral:rRNA from 1 species
UACGGAGGGCGCGAGCGUUAAUCGGAAUUACUGGGCGUAAAGCGCGCGUAGGCUGUUGUGUAAGUUGGGGGUGAAAUCCCACGGCUCAACCGUGGAACAGCCCUUGAUACUGCGCGACUUGAAUCCGGGAGAGGGUGGCGGAAUUCCAGGUGUAGGAGUGAAAUCCGUAGAUAUCUGGAGGAACAUCAGUGACGAAGGCGGCCACCUGGACCGGUAUUGACGCUGAGGCGCGAAAGCGUGGGGAGCAAACAGGG